rnacentral:rRNA from 1 species
GGUCAAGUAAUUAAGCGCACAUGGUGGAUGCCUUGGCAGUCAGAGGCGAUGAAAGACGUGACAGCCUGCGAUAAGCUUCGGGGAGGCGGCAAUAUCCUGUGAUCCGGAGAUUUCUGAAUGGGGAAACCCACUUAGCGUAAGCUAGGUAUACUAAUUUAUUAGUAAGCGAACGAGGGGAAGUGAAACAUCUCAGUACCCUUAGGAAAAGACAUCAAUAGAGAUUCCCCUAGUAGCGGCGAGCGAACGGGGAGGAGCCGACGGAUUUAUAUGUAGAAGAACAGUGUGGGAAAACUGGCCAUAGUGGGUGAUAGCCCCGUAUUCGAAACAUAUAAUGAAGCAUAUUAAGU